rnacentral:rRNA from 1 species
GGUAUCCUUUAGAGAUAGAGGAGUGCUCGAAAGAGAACCUGCACACAGGUGCUGCAUGGCUGUCGUCAGCUCGUGUCGUGAGAUGUUGGGUUAAGUCCCGCAACGAGCGCAACCCUUGCCAUUAGUUGCUACGAAAGGGCACUCUAAUGGGACUGCCGGUGACAAACCGGAGGAAGGUGGGGAUGACGUCAAGUCCUCAUGGCCCUUAUAGGUGGGGCUACACACGUCAUACAAUGGCUGGUACAAAGGGUUGCCAACCCGCGAGGGGGAGCUAAUCCCAUAAAGCCAGUCGUAGUCCGGAUCGCAGUCUGCAACUCGACUGCGUGAAGUCGGAAUCGCUAGUAAUCGUGGAUCAGCAUGUCACGGUGAAUACGUUCCCGGGUCUUGUACACACCG